AUUGAACGCUGGCGGCAUGCCUUACACAUGCAAGUCGAACGGCAGCACGGGGGCAACCCUGGUGGCGAGUGGCGAACGGGUGAGUAAUGCAUCGGAACGUGUCCUCUUGUGGGGGAUAACCAGUCGAAAGAUUGGCUAAUACCGCAUGAGAUCGAGAGAUGAAAGCGGGGGACCCGAGGGUAACUUCGGGCCUCGCGCGAGAGGAGCGGCCGAUGCCGGAUUAGCUAGUUGGUGGGGUAAGAGCCUACCAAGGCGACGAUCCGUAGCUGGUCUGAGAGGACGACCAGCCACACUGGGACUGAGACACGGCCCAGACUCCUACGGGAGGCAGCAGUGGGGAAUUUUGGACAAUGGGCGCAAGCCUGAUCCAGCCAUGCCGCGUGUGUGAAGAAGGCCU
rnacentral:rRNA from 1 species